rnacentral:misc_RNA from 1 species
GAUGAGGAGUCAGGUGGAGGCUCCAACCCAUUCCAGCACCUUGAGAAGAGUGCGGUACUCCAGGAGGCCCGUGUAUUUAAUGAAACUCCCAUCAACCCUCGGAAAUGUGCCCACAUCCUCACCAAGAUUCUUUAUCUCAUAAACCAGGGGGAGCACCUGGGGACCACGGAAGCGACCGAGGCCUUCUUUGCCAUGACCAAGCUCUUUCAGUCCAAUGAUCCCACACUCCGUCGGAUGUGCUACUUGACCAUCAAGGAGAUGUCUUGCA